CCUACGGUGGACAGCAGUGAGGAAUAUUGGUCAAUGGGCGAGAGUCUGAACCAGCCAAGUCGCGUGAGGGAGUACUGCCCUAUGGGUUGUAAACCUCUUUUGUCGGGGAGCAAAAGCCGGACGUGUCCGGCUGUGAGAGUACCCGAAGAAAAAGCAUCGGCUAACUCCGUGCCAGCAGCCGCGGUAAUACGGAGGGUGCGCGCGUUAUCCGGUUUUAUUGGGUUUAAGGGGUGCGCAGGCGGAUUUUUAAGUCAGCGGUAAAAUCGUGGGGCUCAACCCCAGACAGCCGUUGAAACUGGGGAUCUAGAGUGUGCGAGAGGUAUGCGGAAUGCGUGGUGUAGCGGUGAAAUGCAUAGAUAUCACGCAGAACCCCGAUGGCGAAGGCAGCAUACCGGUGCACAACUGAGGCUCAGGCACGAAAGCGUGGGUAUCGAACAGGAUUAGAUACCCUUGUAGUC
rnacentral:rRNA from 1 species